rnacentral:rRNA from 1 species
GUAGGGAAUAUUGCGCAAUGGGGGAAACCCUGACGCAGCGACGCCGCGUGGGUGAUGAAGGCCUUCGGGUCGUAAAGCCCUGUCAAGAGGGAAGAAAAACGCUGUGGCUAACAUCCAUAGCGCUUGACGGUACCUCUGGAGGAAGCACCGGCUAACUACGUGCCAGCAGCCGCGGUAAUACGUAGGGUGCUAGCGUUGUUCGGAAUUAUUGGGCGUAAAGCGCGUGUAGGUGGUUUGGAAAGUUGGAUGUGAAAUACCUGGGCUCAACUCAGGAAGUGCAUCCAAAACUGCCUGGCUAGAGGGCGAGAGAGGGAGGUGGAAUUCCUAGUGUAGAGGUGAAAUUCGUAGAUAUUAGGAGGAAUACCGGCGGCGAAGGCGGCCUCCUGGAUCGUUCCUGACACUGAGACGCGAAAGCGUGGGUAGCAAACAGGAUUAGAAACCCUAGUAGUCC